CAUCAAGAGAUCCCCAAAUUUUUCACUUCUUAAUAAGUGAUUGAAUAGUACUGACUGACAUUUUCAAGGCAUUGGAUAUUUUUUUUUAUAUCCUUUUCCAUCUUUAUAAAGUUCCAUUAUGUUAUUACGCAGGUCUUUUAACAGUUCUUUUCUGCUCCCCGUGGCUCCGUAUCUAGCCUGCUUCGUGCAUCCACGUGAGAGCUAUCAAACUCAUUGACACUAAUUGCAAUUUAAA